UACGCAUAAUGGUAAGCGAAGCAAUGCAUAUGGAGUAGUACAAGCACACCACGACGUCACAAAUCCUAUUUGUUCCGCAGAGCUCCGUCAGAACGUACACAAAAAACGUAUAUCCCACAGUGCGUCCGGUCUACGACAAACUCUCUCGCUUUCAGGGACGUACAAUUUCGAAAGGAAAACAUGACGCACGAGAGCUGUAGCAAAUCGUUUCCCAUGCGACGGGACUGCUGCGAUGCUUCAUAACUCACACUGCAACACGCUCGCUCAUUACUGCUACUGAAACAAGUGUGUUUGAAAAUUGAAAUGAAACACUUUGGAUUUUCGUUUCAAUGGACUACCCGGACUACCCGCUUUGCGCGCAGCCACAGUUGAUCAGCAGGAGCAAAUCAAUUUUAUUUUGUAUGGCGAAAUGCAUCUAAACUUGAAUUACUUGAAAUACAAAGCUUUUCCCGAAAAAAUAUUUGGUAGGCUUAAUAGUGGUCACCGUUGUGCACAACCACUACCAAAUAUUUUUUCGAAUAAUGUGUUCCACUUUGAAGAAUUUGCCUUUAGAUGGUAUUCGCCAUACAAUAUUUUUGCGAUUUACUUUUAGCGAUUUUUCGCGCAUAGAAGCUAGCGCCACAUUGCACACUGGGCCAGGAACAGAGAUUAGCAAGACAAAACCUCUAGUACAUUGGGGUUACGUCCUAUCAAGUUGGUGUCUUCGGCAAAGUUGUUGGGUUUUAUCUGCGCCUCAAAUUGCGCUUCGAAUUUAGUACGCAAAACCGCCGCAUAGGUGGCGCUGCGGUGCUAAGUUUUUUUAUUUUACAUCCUAGAGCUUUCGCGUCUUCGGCAAAGUUGUAGAACAGGCAAAAAUAUGAAAAGUUGUCGAAGACACCACAACUGUAGCUCUUAAAAUAACAAAGUUACAUUGAAUUUUAUAAACGAACAACUUAAAUUUUCUGGUUUUAUGUUAUUCUCUUGUUUUUCAGCCUACAUGUUGCCAUGGCAACAGAAAACAAUAAUCGCAGUUGCCGAACAAGAUCGUACAUUUGAAAUUGUAUUCCACUCUUGCAACAAUCAUGCGUUUUGAGGAAUAAUUAUUACAAGUUUUAUUUUUGUGUUAAAUGUGCUAUUUUAACUUGUAGAUAUUCCCCUAGUAUUAAUGCACAUUUAUAGGGCUCUGGCAGAAUAGAGGCUCGCAAUCCUAUUUCGAUUGCCAACAUUCAGGCCAUUUCGGGCCGUGAUUAAGUACUAGAGAUGUAAACCUUUCCCUGGCACAGACUUCAAGUUAUAGAACUCUAGUGAUGAAACCCGAAUCGGCAUGCCCCCUUAGGAUUAGAAAUUCCUAGACCAAAGCUCAAGCUAUGAAAGCAACUAAUGCUGCGAACGAAAGGCAAUCUGCCAGACAAAAUACGAUUACAGGAUUGACUGAUGGACCAACAACAUUUAUGAAACCUCGUCAUCCUUUCAUCGGAAUCUGUUAUCCAACAGGGUAACAGGGCAAAUAUAUGUUCUGUGUUGUGUAUGUCCAAUUGUGAUGUCCUAAUUUAUUACGCAUUUGUAGUGAUCCACUACAAUAUGUGAUAUCUUCAAUACGCAUUUGUAGUGCUUCAUUAUUUUUCGUAAUAUAAUACAUAUAUUUGUCCAGGUAUUAGUAGAAGAAAUUCCUGUUUUAGUGUAUAUGAGUGAUAUAAGGUACACCGGGGCAAGUUCAAACGGUUGGGGCAAGAUGAAACAGCGGGUUAAGAUUCCACCUACUUCAUCGACAGUUUUAUGUUCAACAAAAUCCCGCAAUAUUCCGCAUGCUAAUGCUGCUUAUUUCAAUCAUACUUAAUAUAAUAAAUAGUGAAUUAAAAUAAUAUACCUUUUGUGUGCUAUCUUGACAACCCACAAAGGCCGUGAAUGGAUAAUUGGUUAACUUUUAUCUGAUAAAUUCUUCAGUUUUGCUGUUGAUAUUGUUUAUGAUUUGAUGUUAAAAUGCGUGAAACAAAAGUAUAAAAGAUACUAGAAGUGAAUUCACCUACGAAAAAUGCGUUUGAUUCGGGCAAAAUCAGGAAAGUGCAAAUCGACAGCUAGCGAUAUAACCAUAUACAUUAAACAGGAACUUCUACUAGUAAUUCAAAUGUAUAGAUUAUUCUCAAAAACGCAUGAUUGUUGCAAGAGUGAAUACAAUUUCAAAUGUACGAUCUUGUUCGACUACUGCGAUUGUUGUUUUCUGUUGCCAUGGCAACAUGUAGGCUGAAAACAAGAGAAUGACAUAAAACCGAAAAUUUAGGUCGUUCGUUUUUAAAAUUGAAUGUAACUUUGUUAUUUUAAGAGGUACAGUUUGGUGUCUUCGACAACUUUUCAUAUUUUUGCCUGUUCUACAACUUUGCCGAAGACGCCAAAGCUCUAGGAUGUAAAAUAAAAAAGUUAGCACCGCAGCGCCACCUAUGCGGUGGUUUUACGAACUAAAUUCCAAGCGCAAUUUGAGGCGCAGAUAAAACCCAACAACUUUGCCGAAGACACCAUUUUGAUAAGACCUAACCCCAAUGUGCUAGAGGUUUUGUCUUGCUAAUUUCUGUUCCUGGCCCAGUGUGCAUUGGUCAAUGCGGAGAGUAGGAAAACAGCCGAUGUAGUUAAUUCAUUGUGGGUCAUAGAAAAAUUUCAAUGUGCUAAAAACACUAUUUAAAACAAUUUUUCAAAUAGUGGUGCACGCCAAAAGAACGGUUAUUAUGUUUUAUGAAAACGAAACACAAGUUCGACCGCUUAAAUCCAAUUAAACGGCGCCCGUAACCAUUGAGAGACUAACGCGCAAGAGUGAGGCACUUCUGCUCUGCCGAGUGAAGCACACACCCUAAAACGAAAGUACACAGCGAAUGAGUAACUUGCGAAAAGACAAAGGAUUUUUCACUCAUAUUUGCGUACGACUGGAUCAGCACAAAAAAUGUGCUGAUCCGGUGUUACACAAAUUUGCGUGAAUUUUCACACAAGUUUGCAUGAAAUCUUUUGUCUUUUCGAUCGCUGCGUGAAAGAUACUCCUUGCUCUGUGUACAUCGAUCUUUCCGUGCAAGCAACACCACCCCGAAGAGAGACUACCGAGUGCUACGAUGAAUGAGAACGUUUUCCGAAUCGAAAAGAAAGACUCGAAUAGUGUGUCAAACAGAUAAAGUGACUCAUUCAAAUGUUGCAUGAAAGUGUAUCAUUGAAACGAAAUUAAACGCCCCUGCUCGCUUUGCCCGUCUUGCAUUACUGCUCAGAGAGAUUGACUCUCUCGCAAUCUGCUUGAAGCACACUUAACAACUGUCAGCACUGCAAUGAAGUGAAGAGUGAACCACAACAGUGUGAAACACAUAUACUUGAGAAGGGUGACAUAUCAGAAUUGAAUACACUAAUCCUCAGGUGUGGUGGCUGUCUCCCUGGGGCGUCGGAAUUGAGGGCUUAGCUCCUAGACCCAGCCGACGUAAAACACAACUGGCGCCGAACGGUGCUAGUUGGCCAGAAAAAAAGAAAAAGAAGAAUACACUAAUCUCUUUUGACCUUAUGGUAUGAAUGGAAGCUAAGGUCAUCCUUGUAGAAAACGUAGUUUGAAAACUCCAUAGCAGAGCGAAUAUUCUUUCUGUUAUUAUUAGGGACAAUGGAAAUUCGCGAUUUCGCGGAAGCCGCGAAAUUCGCGAAAUUGGACAAUGGUCGCGAAAUUUAAGAAAUCCCGCGAAAUGACGCGAAAUCUGGGAAAAUUUUGAAAAUACCCUCAAAAUUCUGCCAAUUUUGAAUAUUUAAACAUAUAUUAGCUGAUAACUUUUUAGCAGUGUAAGGUAAUUUACGGUUUCGAAUCUGGCAAAAUAAAAGUUUAAUGCAUU